rnacentral:rRNA from 1 species
UCUCCUGGAAAACGGGUGGUAAUGCCGGAUGCUCCAGUCCAUCGCAUGGUGGUCUGGGAAAGAUUCUAUCGGUAUGGGAUGGGGUCGCGUCCUAUCAGCUUGAUGGCGGGGUAACGGCCCACCAUGGCCUCGACGGGUAGCCGGCCUGAGAGGGCGACCGGCCACAUUGGGACUGAGAUACGGCCCAGACUCCUACGGGAGGCAGCAGUGGGGAAUAUUGCACAAUGGGCGCAAGCCUGAUGCAGCGACGCCGCGUGCGGGAUGGAGGCCUUCGGGUUGUAAACCGCUUUUGAUCGGGAGCAAGCCCUUCGGGGUGAGUGUACCCUUCGAAUAAGCACCGGCUAACUACGUGCCAGCAGCCGCGGUAAUACGUAGGGUGCAAGCGUUAUCCGGAAUUAUUGGGCGUAAAGGGCUCGUAGGCGGUUCGUCGCGUCCGGUGUGAAAGCCCAUCGCUUAACGGUGGGUCUGCGCCGGGUACGGGCGGGCUGGAGUGCGGUAGGGGAGACUGGAAUUCCCGGUGUAACGGUGGAAUGUGUAGAUAU